AUUGAACGCUGGCGGCAGGCCUAACACAUGCAAGUCGAGCGGAUGAGAAGAGCUUGCUCUUCGAUUCAGCGGCGGACGGGUGAGUAAUGCCUAGGAAUCUGCCUGGUAGUGGGGGACAACGUUUCGAAAGGAACGCUAAUACCGCAUACGUCCUACGGGAGAAAGCAGGGGACCUUCGGGCCUUGCGCUAUCAGAUGAGCCUAGGUCGGAUUAGCUAGUUGGUGAGGUAAUGGCUCACCAAGGCUACGAUCCGUAACUGGUCUGAGAGGAUGAUCAGUCACACUGGAACUGAGACACGGUCCAGACUCCUACGGGAGGCAGCAGUGGGGAAUAUUGGACAAUGGGCGAAAGCCUGAUCCAGCCAUGCCGCGUGUGUGAAGAAGGUCUUCGGAUUGUAAAGCACUUUAAGUUGGGAGGAAGGGCAGUAAGCUAAUACCUUGCUGUUUUGACGUUACCGACAGAAUAAGCACCGGCUAACU
rnacentral:rRNA from 1 species